UACGGGGGGAGCAAGCGUUGUUCGGAUUUACUGGGCGUAAAGGGCGCGUAGGCGGCCAGCGCAAGUCAGUUGUGAAAUCUCCGGGCUUAACUCGGAACGGUCAACUGAUACUGCGCGGCUAGAGUGCGGAAGGGGCAACUGGAAUUCUCGGUGUAGCGGUGAAAUGCGUAGAUAUCGAGAGGAACACCUGCGGCGAAGGCGGGUUGCUGGGCCGACACUGACGCUCAUGCACGAAAGCGUGGGGAGCAAACAGG
rnacentral:rRNA from 1 species